rnacentral:rRNA from 1 species
GAGUUUGAUCGUGGCUCAGGAUGAACACUGGCGGCGUGCCUAAUACAUGCAAGUCGAGCGAACGGACGAGAAGCUUGCUUCUCUGAUGUUAGCGGCGGACGGGUGAGUAACACGUGGAUAACCUACCUAUAAGACUGGGAUAACUUCGGGAAACUGGAGCUAAUACCGGAUAAUAUUUUGAACCGCAUGGUUCAAAAGUGAAAGACGGUCUUGCUGUCACUUAUAGAUGGAUCCGCGCUGCAUUAGCUAGUUGGUAAGGUAACGGCUUACCAAGGCAACGAUGCAUAGCCGACCUGAGAGGGUGAUCGGCCACACUGGAACUGAGACACGGUCCAGACUCCUACGGGAGGCAGCAGUAGGGAAUCUUCCGCAAUGGGCGAAAGCCUGACGGAGCAACGCCGCGUGAGUGAUGAAGGUCUUCGGAUCGUAAAACUCUGUUAUUAGGGAAGAACAUAUGUGUAAGUAACUGUGCACAUCUUGACGGUACCUAAUCAGAAGGCCACGGCUAAC